AUUGAACGCUGGCGGCAGGCCUAACACAUGCAAGUCGAGCGAGCGGCGGACGGGUGAGUAAUGUCUGGGAAACUGCCUGAUGGAGGGGGAUAACUACUGGAAAAGAGAGCGCUAAUCGCAUACCACCUGAUGUGCCCAGAUGGGAUUAGCUAGUGGGUGGGGUAACGGCUCACCUAGGCGACGAUCCCUAGCUGGUCUGAGAGGGUGACCAGCCACACUGGAACUGAGACACGGUCCAGACUCCUACGGGAGGCAGCAGUGGGGAAUAUUGCACAAUGGGCGAAAGCCUGAUGCAGCCAUGCCGCGUGUGUGAAGAAGGCCUUCGGGUUGUAAAGCACUUUCAGCGGGGAGGCGUUACCCGCAGAAGAAGCACCGGCUAACUCCGUGCCAGCAGCCGCGGUAAUUC
rnacentral:rRNA from 1 species